rnacentral:misc_RNA from 1 species
GUGGGAGGGGGCUUGCUCCCGAUCGCGGCGUGUCAGUCACUGUCUCGGUUGACUGACCUACCGUAAUCGGGAGCAAGCCCCCUCCCAC